AUACUUCAUCAAAGGGGAGAUACCAUGAUCACGAAGGCAGGUUUUCCAGGGCGAGGCUUAUCCAUUGCACUCCGGAUGUGUUGACCCCCGCGAUUUCCCCAAACGUGGGAAACUCGACUGCACACUUGUGGUAGUGGGGAUCAUGUUCGCGCUUUCCCUG